GCUUGCGGCAUUUGCGAGUUUUCGCUCACUCAUGUUCGAGGGAAAAUUGCUUGCGUGCAUGGGGAGGAUGGAUGCGUUUGACCUUAAGAAGCACCCAAAAUCCUAAAAUUGUAGAUCGCCUGUCGUCACACGCCAUGCCACGUGUGAAAAUGUCUGUUGUUUAGCUUAGUGAGAGGCAAGUAGGUCGGACUCGGGGGUCAGUUUCAGAGCAAUUGAGGGAAGGGCGUUGGGCCAUGAGACCAUGUGCCUAAUUAGCACCAUUGUCAAAAAUGGACGUUUUCCAAUUCCAGGUAAAACACGAGGCGUUCCCAGUGUGACUUCGAUCACGCAGCCACGGCAGCCAGGUAUAACAACGGGCUUGUGAGGUGCCUCGGACUACAAGUUGCACGGUUUCAACAUCUGCGAAGUAGUUAGUGGUUUGCGCCUGCCAUUCUAGUCUUCACAGAUGUUCAUUGUGGCUUUCCAGGUUACUUGGAUAGGGACUCGGUGAUAUGCCCGCAUGCGGGUUUGGGCAGGGAACAUCACAAGAACUUACAAGACCAAGCGCUUGCGGCAUUUGCGAGUUUUCGCUCACUCAUGUUCGAGGGAAAAUUGCUUGCGUGCAUGGGGAGGAUGGAUGCGUUUGACCUUAAGAAGCACCCAAAAUCCUAAAAUUGUAGAUCGCCUGUCGUCACACGCCAUGCCACGUGUGAAAAUGUCUGUUGUUUAGCUUAGUGAGAGGCAAGUAGGUCGGACUCGGGGGUCAGUUUCAGAGCAAUUGAGGGAAGGGGGUGGGGCCAUGAGACCAUGUGCCUAAUUAGCACCAUUGUCAAAAAUGGACGUUUUCCAAUUCCAGGUAAAACACGAGGCGUUCCCAGUGUGACUUCGAUCACGCAGCCACGGCAGCCAGGUAUAACAACGGGCUUGUGAGGUGCCUCGGACUACAAGUUGCACGGUUUCAACAUCUGCGAAGUAGUUAGUGGUUUGCGCCUGCCAUUCUAGUCUUCACAGAUGUUCAUUGUGGCUUUCCAGGUUACUUGGAUAGGGACUCGGUGAUAUGCCCGCAUGCGGGUUUGGGCAGGGAACAUCACAAGAACUUACAAGACCAAGCGCUUGCGGCAUUUGCGAGUUUUCGCUCACUCAUGUUCGAGGGAAAAUUGCUUGCGUGCAUGGGGAGGAUGGAUGCGUUUGACCUUAAGAAGCACCCAAAAUCCUAAAAUUGUAGAUCGCCUGUCGUCACACGCCAUGCCACGUGUGAAAAUGUCUGUUGUUUAGCUUAGUGAGAGGCAAGUAGGUCGGACUCGGGGGUCAGUUUCAGAGCAAUUGAGGGAAGGGCGUUGGGCCAUGAGACCAUGUGCCUAAUUAGCACCAUUGUCAAAAAUGGACGUUUUCCAAUUCCAGGUAAAACACGAGGCGUUCCCAGUGUGACUUCGAUCACGCAGCCACGGCAGCCAGGUAUAACAACGGGCUUGUGAGGUGCCUCGGACUACAAGUUGCACGGUUUCAACAUCUGCGAAGUAGUUAGUGGUUUGCGCCUGCCAUUCUAGUCUUCACAGAUGUCCAUUGUGGCUUUCCAGGUUACUUGGAUAGGGACUCGGUGAUAUGCCCGCAUGCGGGUUUGGGCAGGGAACAUCACAAGAACUUACAAGACCAAGUGCUUGCGGCAUUUGCGAGUUUUCGCUCACUCAUGUUCGAGGGAAAAUUGCUUGCGUGCAUGGGGAGGAUGGAUGCGUUUGACCUUAAGAAGCACCCAAAAUCCUAAAAUUGUAGAUCGCCUGUCGUCACACGCCAUGCCACGCGUGAAAAUGUCUGUUAUUUAGCUUAGUGAGAGGCAAGUAGGUCGGACUCGGGGGUCAGUUUCAGAGGAAUUGAGGGAAGGGGGUGGGGCCAUGAGACCAUGUGCCUAAUUAGCACCAUUGUCAAAAAUGGACGUUUUCCAAUUCCAGGUAAAACACGAGGCGUUCCCAGUGUGACUUCGAUC
rnacentral:lncRNA from 1 species